GACGAACGCUGGCGGCGUGCUUAACACAUGCAAGUCGAACGGAAAGGCCCUGCUUUUGUGGGGUGCUCGGGUGGCGAACGGGUGAGUAACACGUGAGUAACCUGCCCUUGACUUUGGGAUAACUUCAGGAAACUGGGGCUAAUACCGGAUAUGAGCUCCUGCUGCAUGGUGUGGGUUGGAAAGUGUCGGCGGUUGGGGAUGGACUCGCGGCUUAUCAGCUUGUUGGUGGGGUAGUGGCUUACCAAGGCUUUGACGGGUAGCCGGCCUGAGAGGGUGACCGGCCACAUUGGGACUGAGAUACGGCCCAGACUCCUACGGGCGGCAGCAGUGGGGAAUAUUGCACAAUGGGCGGAAGCCUGAUGCAGCAACGCCGCGUGCGGGAUGACGGCCUUCGGGUUGUAAACCGCUUUCGCCUGUGACGAAGCGUGAGUGACGGUAAUGGGUAAAGAAGCACCGGCUAACUACGUG
rnacentral:rRNA from 1 species